UUUCAUCAAGCCGCAGCUAUGGUUAAUGAAGGAGGAGAAGGUUGUGAGAGUGGGGAGCAGAGGAUAACUUUCUUGAAUCAGCUAUCAAUUUUCACCAUCAUGGGCUUUGUACCAUAGCAGCUGAUAUCAAGGAAGGAAUAUUGAGGAAAGGUGAUAGCUCCUAUUCAGAAGUGACUUGAAAGAAAUAAAAGAUAAA